rnacentral:rRNA from 1 species
AGUCGCUGGUGAACAGCGGAGGGAUCAUUA